rnacentral:rRNA from 1 species
UUAGCUAGUAGGUGGGGUAACGGCUCACCUAGGCGACAUCCCUAGCUGGUCUGAGAGGAUGACCAGCCACACUGGAACUGAGACACGGUCCAGACUCCUACGGGAGGCAGCAUG